rnacentral:ribozyme from 1 species
AAAGGCCUGCAUUUGUAAAUGCUUUAAUUGAGAAUAGUUCGAAAAAUCAAAAAAAGGAAAAAGAGGUGAGAUGGUUAAAUGUUGGGGGAGGGGUGGCUAUUUCCCGUAUGACAAAUCUCACCUCUGCUAUUUCAUUUCAAGGAAAAGGUCUCCUACUUUAGCCGUCUUGCCAUGUCUGCAAAGAGCGUUAUGGAGGAAUCGUUUUUGAUGAUCACAGACCAGUGCAUCAUUGAGUUCAAAUCAAAUAAGCUUAAUAUUGGAUCAGGGACUGUCUCAUUCGCAAUAAAGAUCGAGAGAAUGGCAAAACUAAAGUUUCGACGGGAAGAAUCUCUUUCACUAUUU